rnacentral:rRNA from 1 species
GACGAACGCUGGCGGCGUGCUUAACACAUGUAAGUCGAACGGAAAGGCCCUGCUUUUGUGGGGUGCUCGAGUGGCGAACGGGUGAGUAACACGUGAGUAACCUGCCCUUGACUUUGGGAUAACUUCAGGAAACUGGGGCUAAUACCGGAUAGGAGCUCCUGCUGCAUGGUGGGGGUUGGAAAGUUUCGGCGGUUGGGGAUGGACUCGCGGCUUAUCAGCUUGUUGGUGGGGUAGUGGCUUACCAAGGCUUUGACGAGUAGCCGGCCUGAGAGGGUGACCGGCCACAUUGGGACUGAGAUACGGCCCAGACUCCUACGGGAGGCAGCAGUGGGGAAUAUUGCACAAUGGGCGGAAGCCUGAUGCAGCAACGCCGCGUGCGGGAUGACGGCCUUCGGGUUGUAAACCGCUUUCGCCUGUGACGAAGCGUGAGUGACGGUAAUGGGUAAAGAAGCACCGGCUAACUACGUG